UAGUUAAGCUUGGGCGAGAGUAGUACUAGGAUGGGUGACCCCCUGGGAAGUCCUCGUGUUGCACCCC
rnacentral:rRNA from 1 species